rnacentral:rRNA from 1 species
CCUACGGGAGGCAGCAGUGGGGAAUAUUGGACAAUGGGGGAAACCCUGAUCCAGCGACGCCGCGUGAGUGAAGAAGUAUUUCGGUAUGUAAAGCUCUAUCAGCAGGGAAGAAAUAGCGACCUUUGGGUCGCCAGACGGUACCUGAUUAAGAAGCCCCGGCUAACUACGUGCCAGCAGCCGCGGUAAUACGUAGGGGGCAAGCGUUAUCCGGAUUGACUGGGUGUAAAGGGAGCGGAGACGGCAGCGCAAGUCUGAAGUGAAAUGCCGGGGCUUAACCCCGGAACUGCUUUGGAAACUGUGCAGCUAGAGUACAGGAUAGGGAAGUGGAAUUCCGAGUGUAGCGGUGACAUGCGUCAAGUU